AAUAUUUCUCAGUCCAUUUUGCUCUCCUACCCAGCAGAAGCCAAAAAGAAGAUGCAAAACUUUAUUUUGCCUUCCUGCUACAAAUGCCCCAUUGGGUCAGAAUCUUAUCAAGCACCAAAGUCAGUCAUCUGCUCUCAGGACCCAGACCCAAGCUCAUGGAAUAAGCGUCCAGGGUCUAAGCAUCAGCUCAGCUCUCCAACAGGCCACAACUCAUGAAUCAAGGUGGAGUGGCAGGCACAUAUCAGUGGAGGUAACCUGUAUAAGACUGGAGUCACCAUAAGAAGACAACAGAAAAACUGCAAAACCAGAGUUUGACUUUGAGCAGGAGAUGAAGGUUGUUACCUUAUUCUGUUACAAAAUGUGCCACCGGGGAUCUC
rnacentral:lncRNA from 1 species